rnacentral:misc_RNA from 1 species
CCUCUCCUUCCUUCUCCUCUUGAAAAUCAUAUAAUUCAUAUGCCCAUAGACUUACUAUCAUUUUUUAAUGUGAAUAGUGGUAUUGAUAAGCUUUAUCAAUGGUGGCUCAAUAUAUUAUGGUGAUAAUAUUGUAUAUUUAGGUUGACUUUUGCUUAUACUAAUUUGUUUUCGUCAAAAUCAAGUAAUAAAUAUGGAAAUUUUCUUUUGAUGGCUGUUGGUCCUUUUUCUGUUCUAAGAGAGAUCAAAGUCCAAGUGUCCGACACAACUGAUGGAACUUCUGUUUCAUAAAAUGUAAAGACAUUAAGGUCACACUAAGUUGGAAAAAUUUAAGUGAUCAUUUUCAUGAUAUAAUAUGAUGGAUAAUGACAUAAUGUACAUGCCCCUAUGAUGCGUCCCACAUCAGUUCUACAGGAAGGUCUUGGGUUUUAUAUAUAUAGGUUUGCAAACCUUCUCUUGUGAGCUAGCUUUUGAGGUGG